AAAGAUAUUUUCUCAAAAGAGGGAGAGAAGAGAGAAGAAUGAAAAGAUGAAGACAGAAAUGGAGGAAAAGAUAGUAUGUAAGUCAGGAAGUUACCAAACCAGCAUAUAAAUUUUCAAAGCCCUGUAUAGCAGUGCUUCUCAAGAUGUGAUUCCUGAACCAGCAGCACGAGAAUCACUUGGGAAUUUGUUUAACAGGCAAAAAAACCCAGACCUAGUGAAUCAGAAAUUCUAGGAGCAGUUGACAGCAGAGUUUAGUUUUAAUACAUACUCCAGGUUCUUCUGAUGGAUGCCAACUGUUGGAAACUACUGGUCUGCAAGUGUGAUACGAUGAGAGAAGAUUCCGCUCCCUGAGUAUGAGAAUGCAGACACUGAGUACUAGGGUCUUCUCCAUCUGAUGAGUGGGCUGUACAUCUGAUCUCUGACUUGCUUGCUGUAAAGCUGCCAAGGAGUACAGUAGGAGUUCUAUGGUGUACAUCAUGAUAAAUGCUGUAGAACUGGAGGAUGCAAAUCACAAAGAAAUAGGACUUUUCUAAUCUAUGCUAAAAUGAAAUUUCUAAAUCCAGGAAAGUAUAUUGUUGGGUUGAGAACUUGAGUUUUUGGCAAGAGGAUAUCUCAAACUAUCGAAAAUGCCAUCACUAUUUUAUUAAAAGCUCAUUCAGCAUGUCAGACCAGAGUUCAUGUGACCAAUCUUAGGUUUGGAGCAAAAGGUCAUUACCUGUACUGCUUGCAUUUCCUCAUGACAUACUUUUUUGUGAACACUUUACUGUCCUGGAAGACUCUGAGAUAAGUUUAAUUUGUGAGAUGGGAGGUCUUUGGGUUUGCCAUGUGACAGUUUCAAUGGACGUUGACUGCAUUGCUCAAUCUGGAGCCUCUCAGAUCUCGGCCCUUUCCUAAAAACAGGUUGUAUUUGCAACAAUUAACUCUUUAUAUCGUCUGCAAAUCUCAUGUGUUGGACUUUUGUUGAAAGUCAAUACAAGUUGUAUGCUUUUCAUAUGUCUAUAAAAUGCAGGGACAGUAAAAUAUAGAGUAGAAUAAAGUAAGGAAAAUGCACUCUCUAUAUAGUUAAAUGACAAACUGCAUGAUCUUAAUGAGCUAAGAAUGUUGUCAUGGACCCUACACUAUCAGACAAAGGAAAGCAACAUAGGAGAUAGAGCUUCUCCCCUGGCUGCCACGCUGUGCCUUUUCAGAGGCUCUCCUGUAAAUUCAGACAAUGCUAUUGUCAUCCUCCUUCAAAGACUAAGUGAGUAAUAUCAGCUCUGGCGCCCAGGAUAUUUUGGAUAGUGACAGAUACCUUCUUUAAGCAGAGGGCAGGAGCAGUGUGUGUAAUGCCAGGCUAAUUCUUGGCACUGGAUUUAACAGUGAUAAAGAGAAAGUGAAGACCUUUCAUCAAUUCAUCUCUUGGCAUCCAGCAAUAUUCAUCUUAUUGCUGUGUAAAUAAUCAAAACAGUGGCUUGCCUAGGAAGGAGUGUUAUUUCUCAUUUUGGCAUACCUGAAAAAAUCUCCCCCAGCUCUCAGGGUCCCAGGCCUAUGAAUCAAAAACUAUCUAGGUCGAGCUGGACUGAAAUUUGUGCUUCAGAUGUGUUUGAGCACUUCUCAGAUGUGAACAUGCAUUAUCAGUUGUCAAUAAUGUUAUUUUAGUCUUUGGCAUGUUUUAUACCUCUGUGAGGUUAAAGAUCAGACUUUCUGACAUGCUUGCCUCUGUGGCUUCUCAUGCUUGUCUCAUCCUGCUGAGCCCUUACAUGCUUUCCUUGUGUUGUUCCUGAAGAAGGGGGUAUGUCCCAAGAUAUGCAAAAAUAUUAAGCUACACUCUAAAUGCAGGAAUCAAACUAUUUUUGUGGCUUUUACAAAGAAUUAUACAGAAAAGGGAAAGAGGUCUGGAACAGAGUAACAGCAUUGAAGUUAUCAUUAUAUGGAUGGAUAGAGGAACCUAUUAAUAUUAGGAUAGCUGAGAUGGUCUCAUGAAUGUAAUAAAUAAGAGAGGCAAGCAGAGCCCUGGAGAUCACAUGCUUUGUGUGUGCACAAUUAAGCAGGAUUUUAUAUAACUAAUAUUAAAAGAAUAGGAAAGAUUUAACUAUUUCAGGAAGAAUUUUCUUUACUGACUACUGUUGAAAUAGUGUCAGUAAACAUUUCUUCCUGACUGAUCAAUCUUUUCUUCUAAUAGAGGAGAAUAUGCCAGCAUCUAAACAAGACUGACAGUUACUUUGACAAUGUGCAAGGGACUAAAAUGCCUUCCAGGGUUUAAAUUCCUGGGGAUAUUUCUGUGAUGUUUAUCAAUUGAUUGAAAGCAGUUUUCAUUUUGAAAUAAAUAAUUAUUGGAAAUUUCAGCUAUCAACAGAAAAGUAAACAAAGGAAGAAAAGCAGUAUUUUUGGGAAAUACACAGAAAAACAGCUUAAUGCUGUUACAGUAAUUUUCCAAAGUGCAUGACUCAAUCAUAUUAGGUCUGUAUUCUGGUCUCUAUUGAUCAUUAAAGGUUGGAACAUUUAAUAAAUUAAACAUGGCUUAUGAUAUGAAUUUAUCAAAUGUUCUUAAAGAGAGUACAUAGGAUCAGUUUGAAAACAAACUUUUUAUUGUGCUUAUUGUUUAGACUCUAGAUGUAUUAUUUAUAAGGUCACAUAAUAUUUGAAGCUCAGUUUCUUAUAGUCAACAUUGAUUUCUGUGUUGUCAUAUCCCUGGCAAUUUUUGUGUCAAUUCUCUGUACUUAUUUUCUCAAUUGUGGAAAUUCCAAUAUUCAAACUUACAAGGAAGAAAUUUUACACAUAGCUCUUUUUGAGUCAUAGGCUUUUUCACACAUGGCUUAGCCUUGUUUCUAGCAUAUAGUAGGUGAUAAAAAAUAAAUGCUAAAUGACUGAAAAGUAGGACUUUUAUGUAUUUUUGACUGAAAACAGUGUAUGGAAACAUUCCCAAAUAUACACUCUAAAAUGCAACGAAGGGUCUCUGGAAGCUUCUGUGAGCCUGCCUGUAUGUAGCAUCCAGAUCUCCUACAGAUGUUUAGAGCUCCCCUGGGUUUAUGAAGAGAACAUGAAGGCAAAGUCAACAAAUGUAGCUACUUUAUCUGUCUGUCCAUUAAGGUACCCAUUUAUCAUUCAGUCCACGAUGAAUUACAGUAGCCUCCCUGUGUGUGCAGCUGCACUUUCUGUGGUUUCAGUUACCUGUAGUCAACCACAGCCUGAAAAUUGUACGUGGAACAUUUUAAAAAUAAGCACUUGAUAUGUUUUAAAUUGUGCACCAUUGUAAGUAGCCUGAUUAAAAUCUCAUGCCAGUCCCUUCCAUCCUACCUUGAACAUGAUUCCUACCUUUAUCCAGCAUGUCUACACUGAAGACUCACUACUUGCCCAUUAGCCACAUCAUAGUUGCCCAAGGAUCAACUGUCAUGGUUUUGCAGUGCAGGUGCAAGUACUCUUGCACUCAAGUAAAAGUUCAUUUGACUCAUAAUGGCCCCAGAGUGCAAGAGUAGUGAUGCCAGCAAUUUGGAUGUGCCAGAGACAAGCCAGAAAGUGUUUCCUGUAAGUAAAAAGGUCAAAGUUCUUCACUUAAUAAAGUACCAAAAAAUCAUAUACUGAGUUUUCUAAGAUCCAUAGUAAGAACAAACCUAUCCAUGAAAUCGUGAAUAAGGAUAAAGAAAUCUGCCCGUAGUGUAUAUGGGCUUUGGUAUUAUUUGAGAUUUAAGACAUCCAAUGUGGGUCUUACAACACAUCCCUCUUGCAUAUGGGGGAGCUACUAUAAAUACAGUGGCAAAUAAUGAGCCAUUUGGGAACUGAAUAGUGAAACGUUUACCUUGACUCCAUGAAGUUUAUACUUUUGUAGGGCACUAACGUACAUCGAGGCAGUCAUUGUUAGGAUAAUGAGUCUUUGGUAGCAUUUUACUAGUGAAGUACACAGCAAGGGCACUUUACUUAGUCUAACUGGUCAAGGUAUUGGAGUUGUACCUGGGUCACAUCCUUCAAUUGUAUAAUAAACAGACUCAUUAACUGCAUUGCUCCUUCCAAGUAUGAAUAUAUUCCACUACAUUACUGAGAAAGCUGGGUCAGAAGACUCCCUUUAGCCUGACUUGGGGCUCAGCGGGUUUCCUUAGAAAACUCUAUUGUACAAAGAGAUGGGCAAAUGAAGUUCAUUUGGUGUUAUAUACCCUGACUUUCACCAGUGCAUGUGGUUAACUAAGCUAAAACGUGGUCAGUUCGUGCCGUUGCCCUCAGCACAAAAAAGAAAAGCUCAGUUUAUUUACUGUGAUCACCUUUAUUCCUUAGUUUAGGUAGGUACUGCUUUUUACUUAAAUCCAACAAUAUAAUUCGGCCCAAAGCAUUUUAAUUUUUCCUAUUUUUAAAAAACUUGAAUGUUUCAAACAACACAAACUCUAAAAAUUAGAAACAGGACUGAGUAGAAUCAAUUGUACUAUUGAAUCAACAAGUGGUUUGUGAAAUGUAGCAGAUGAUUAAGAUCUUCAAAUGCUUAUUCUUUAUUCUUUUAGUUUUGUAAAGAGAAAAAUAUAUGUGAAUCAAAAUAGCUUGAAUAUCAAGGAUACACCUUUGAAGUAAUCUUUUAACAGGCUCAAUUUACAGCAUAUAACAGUUGUGAAUAGAAAUCCAUUUAUUUUAUAAACUAUUUAAAUUAUUUUAAGUGAAUUCCUGUGGCUAAAGGCUUGUGUUUUGUACAUGCAUUUGAACAGAUCGUAUUUUAAUGACAGUCAUGGUGAACUUCAUAGACAUUUUUUUGUCUUCUUAAACUCCCCCUUAGAGCCUCUCUGCAUACAUUAGUAUUAAUUAGAUAAUGUCUCCCAGGUGCUUAGAGCUUUUUGGAGAAAGGGAAUGAAGCAUUGUGUUAAAAUGAUUAUUACUGACUUCAAAGACAGUUAUAUGAGAGUUCAGAAAGAGCAAAUUUUUUAUAAUACCGACUCAUAAAUGCCAUUGAGAAAUAGCAUUGUAUGACGUUACAAAUGGUCAUUUAUUUUGUUAACAAGCCAAUUAUCGUCUUUCUUAUUCCAUUAGAUUAUCAUAGGGAAGGAAGUAGAAGUUUUCGGUACCAAGAUACAAGAUGAGAUGCAAUGAAUGGGAUCCAAAUAAUUUCAUUGAAUUGUUUAAGUUUAUCAAAGGGGUAUAGAAUGAUGUUAGCCUUGGUCUCUCUAGAAGCAUUGGGUUAGUGGUACCCCAUAAAAGGCCAAAGCAGAUGAAGUUUAUCUAAGAAUUUUGCUUCUUAGUGGUUUCAGGAAUGGCGGGUAGAUGGAAGUGGUGUCACUAAAAAAAGAAACCCAAAGUAGCCAAAU